rnacentral:rRNA from 1 species
GACGAACGCUGGCGGCGUGCUUAACACAUGCAAGUCGAACGGAAAGGCCCUGCUUUUGUGGGGUGCUCGAGUGGCGAACGGGUGCGUAACACGUGAGUAACCUGCCCUUGACUUUGGGAUAACUUCAGGAAACUGGGGUUAAUACCGGACAGGAGCUGCUGUUGCAUGGUGGGGGUUGGAAAGUUUCGGCGGUUGGGGAUGGAUUCGCGGCUUAUUAGCUUGCUGGUGGGGUAGUGGCUGACCAAGGCAUUGACGGGUAGUCGGCCUGAGAGGGUGACCGGCCACAUUGGGACUGAGGUAGGGCGCAGACGCCUACGGGAGACAACAGUGGGAAGUAUGGCACAGUGGUCGCGAGCCUGAUGCGACGGCGCCGCGUGCGUGAUGACGGCCUUCGGGUUGUGAACCGCUUUCGGCUGUUACGAAGCGUGUGUGACGGUAAUGGGUAAAGAAGCACCGGCUAACUACGUG